rnacentral:misc_RNA from 1 species
GAUGAAGAACGUAGCGAAAUGCGAUACUUGGUGUGAAUUGCAGAAUCCCGUGAACCAUCGAGUCUUUGAACGCAAGUUGCGCCCGAAGCCAUCAGGUUGAGGGCACGUCUGCCUGGGCGUCACAUAUCGUUGCCCGAUGCCUAUUGCAGUGCAAUAGGAAUUUCUAGGGCGAAUGAUGGCUUCCCGUGAGCGUUGUUGCCUCGCGGUUGGUUGAAAAUCGAGUCCUUGGUAGGGUGUGCCAUGGUAGAUGGUGGUCGAGUUAGAACGAUACCGAUCAUGUGCAUGCUCCCCAAAAUAUGGCCUCUAUGACCCACACGCGUCUUUUGACGCUCAUGACGAGACCUCAGGUCAGGCGGGGCUACCCGCUGAAUUUAAGCAUAUCAAUAAGCGGAGGA